rnacentral:rRNA from 1 species
CAGAGGGGGCAAGCGUUGUUCGGAAUUACUGGGCGUAAAGGGCGCGUAGGCGGCCUGUUAAGUCGAACGUGAAAUCCCCGGGCUCAACCCGGGAACUGCGUCCGAUACUGGCAGGCUUGAAUUCGGGAGAGGGAUGCGGAAUUCCAGGUGUAGCGGUGAAAUGCGUAGAUAUCUGGAGGAACACCGGUGGCGAAGGCGGCAUCCUGGACCGAGAUUGACGCUGAGGCGCGAAAGCCAGGGGAGCAAACGGGAUUAGAUACCCCGGUAGUCCUGGCCCUAAACGAUGAAUGCUUGGUGUGGCGGGUAUCGAUCCCUGCCGUGCCGAAGCUAACGCAUUAAGCAUUCCGCCUGGGGAGUACGGUCGCAAGGCUG